CAAAUUUUGAUCUGAAAUCAGGUAGGAUUACCCGCUGAACUUAAGCAUAUCAAUAAGCGGAGGAAAAGAAACUAACAAGGAUUCCCUCAGUAACGGCGAGUGAAGCGGGAAGAGCUCAAAUUUAAAAUCUGGUUUGCUUGCAAGCCCGAGUUGUAGUCUGAAGAAACGUUUUCCAUAAGCACUGAGGCAAAAGUCCCUUGGAACAGGGCAUCAUAGAGGGUGAGAAUCCCGUCCAUGGUCUCAAGUUGUUUAUUUUGUGAUACGUUUUCAAAGAGUCAGGUUGUUUGGGAAUGCAGCCUAAAAUGGGUGGUAAAUUUCAUCUAAAGCUAAAUAUUGGCGAGAGACCGAUAGCGAACAAGUACCGUGAGGGAAAGAUGAAAAGAACUUUGAAAAGAGAGUUAAACAGUACGUGAAAUUGUUGAAAGGGAACCGUUUGAAGCCAGUCUUACUUGCCUGUGAUCAAUUUUUGCUUCGGCAUGAAUGCACUCUCGGGUAUGGUAGGCCAACGACAGUUUGGAAUGCGAGAAAAAAAUAAGGGAAAUGUGGCCUUCGGGUGUUAUAGUCCCUUAUAAAAUAUCGUGUUCUGGACUGAGGAUCGCAGCAAAAAUGUGGGCAGGUGGAUUUCUGUGGUAACUGUCGRUUAGGACAACUUGUUGACCUAGUCUUCCUUAGCCUCACUAUUUACCUCGCUUCUAAUUUGCUUAGGUCGUUGGCAUAAUGGCUUUAAAUGACCCGUCUUGAAACACGGACCAAGGAGUCUAACAUAUAUGCGAGUAUUUGGGUGGCAAACCCAUAUGCGCAAUGAAAGUGAAAUUAGGUGCCAAACCUUCACGGGUGGCAGCAUCGGCCGGCUCUGACGUUUUAACUGACGAGUCUGAGCAGAAGCAUACAUGUUGGGACCCGAAAGAUGGUGAACUAUGCCUGAAUAGGGUGAAGCCAGAGGAAACUCUGGUGGAGGCUCGUAGCGAUUCUGACGUGCAAAUCGAUCGUCAAAUUUGGGUAUAGGGGCGAAAGACUAAUCG
rnacentral:rRNA from 1 species